rnacentral:rRNA from 1 species
GAUGAACGCUGGCGGCGUGCCUAAUACAUGCAAGUCGAGCGAACAGACGAGGAGCUUGCUCCUCUGACGUUAGCGGCGGACGGGUGAGUAACACGUGGAUAACCUACCUAUAAGACUGGGAUAACUUCGGGAAACCGGCGCUAAUACCGGAUAAUAUAUUGAACCGCAUGGUUCAAUAGUGAAAGACGGUUUUGCUGUCACUUAUAGAUGGAUCCGCGCCGCAUUAGCUAGUUGGUAAGGUAACGGCUUACCAAGGCGACUAUGCGUAGCCGACCUGAGAGGGUGAUCGGCCACACUGGAACUGAGACACGGUCCAGACUCCUACGGGAGGCAGCAGUAGGGAAUCUUACGCAAUGGGCGAAAGCCUGACGGAGCAACGCCGCGUGAGUGAUGAAGGUCUUCGGAUCGUAAAACUCUGUUAUUAGGGAAGAACAAAUGUGUAAGUAACUAUGCACGUCUUGACGGUACCUAAUCAGAAAGCCACGGCUAACUACGUG